AAGAAAUGCAUCUAAAAGCUGAAAGUCAAUAAACUAUUCCAAAAUUCUCAUGUGUCACAUUCACGGUUUCUUUAAACGAUGGAUCAAUUCCUUUGAAACUUUCGGUUUCUGACAUAAUGAACAAGAAAAAAUAAAUUCAAACUAAACUUGUUCAUUGCAAGCAAAGAAUUUAACUUGUAGAUGGAUAAUGUAAGUUUUUUUUUCUUUUACUAUUUUCAAUUACAAAUUGAUUUGUCUUAUAAUAUAUAGUUUUAUUAAAAGUUAUAAUAAUAGUUGUUUAUUAUUAUAAUGCAUCUGUAAGAUAAGGUGUCAUAUUGGUUUUGAUUCCCUUCUUCGGAUGGGUAUGGGUGUCUGAGAAAAUAUGUUCUAGUUUAUAGGUUUGUAUAAGGUCAAAUUGUUGAGUUGAGAAAAUGUUUAGUAAGUGGACUUAAUCAUUGUAUCUUUUUAUAAUCUAUCUUUAUUUAAAGAGAUCAUUGUAUUUGUAAUUAGCGUGCAACAGGAUAGAAUAAAAAUCUAAUAGUUGUCGGUGUAGAUGUAGGUUGUAAUUAGCUACCGAACCACGUUAAAUCUUGUGUCGUUAUUUUUUUACAGUUGAUUCGUGAUUGUGUGUUGCUUUCGCGUGCAUUUUUUUCCAUCAUGAACCACCCUGAAGUGGUUAUAUUUAUUAAUUUUUUAUUAUUGAUAAAAAAAAAUAUUUAUUAAUUGAUCAUGUAAUAAGAACUUAUAUUAACCAUAUAUCAUAUUAAAAUCUUAAUUUAUAUGUAUUGUUAGUGUAAACUAUUUUCACCAAGACGGUAUGUAAAUUAAAUUCUACCAAAUAAUUCACUUAUAAUUCAAGAACUUUUAUAAGAAAAUGUACUCGAAUAUUACGAAGAAAUUCAUUUUGUUACCUAAAUUUGACUUUUCUAUGCUAAGUCUGCUUAAGAUUCCCCCUACGGACAAUUGUGAUCAUACGAAAAUUUCCAAUUAUAUAAACAAAAUUCUAAUGCUUUUUAGGUUAUAAUUUUCAUUAUUUUCAAUACUUUUAUUCUAUCAACUAAUUAAAAAUUAUGCUAGACAUAAAUUUAAGUAAUUAAUGUAAAAAUUAACAAAUUUUAAAUUUUAAGUCUAACUCAUAUUAUAAAAUCAACUUAUAUAAUGAGAUUUUCACCUAUUUAUUUAUUAUUAAAUGUCAUAGUCUUUAAUCGAUGUGAGAUUUCUAACACCCUUUUCAUGUCGAUAUUACUAAUUUGUGUGUGAAACUAUAUAUUUAUGGAUGUUUAACGAUUUAAUAGCAUAUAACACGAUAUGUCCAAUAAACUUUCAUUAGAAUAGGUUUGAAAUGACUCUGAUAUCAUAUUAAUUUUGUAUAUUUCAUUUUAAAAAAAUUAUUAUUAAUCAAAUAAUUGUUACAUACUUACUUAUUUACAUCUUUACUCUAUUUACAUGACAUAAUAAAAUAAAUGAAAAUAACAAAUAUUAAUGAAACAGUUAUAACGAUCUCAUUUUAUAAAAUCGAUUCGAGAGAUUUACACAUUUAUCUAUUAUAAAAUGUUUAAUUUAUGAUAGAAUGUUUAAUGAAACUGAAUUUUAUUUUUAUUUCUCCAUCACAUCACAACUAAUUAUUCUUGUGUGAAUAUAAUUUUAUUUCUUUUCUUAUAUGUACGAGGAUAUAAUUUCUUGGUCGAAUUCUUUGAAGACGAAACUUUAACCAAAAGUUGAAUCUUAGAAACUAUAAAUACUAAUAAUUUGAUUUUGAAGAAGCAUAGGUUUUAGAUUAGUAAAGUAACCCUCUAUUCGAUGAAUGAAAGCCAUUGCAGGAAGUCAACAACUUUCACUUUCAACAGAGUGUAAUAAGGUAUUUUGGUGCGCGUCACUGCAGUGGAAUUCUGAUAUUAAAUUGAUAAAAUAAUUACUAAUUAACAGUUGAAAUAUGAAUAGAUAUUUUCAUUAAUAAUUUAUUUACAAAUAUCUCUGUAGACAGUGGAGGGCAGCGAUAGAAGAGCUUGAAAGAAGCCAAAAAUAGGAGAAAACGUAAAAAGAUAAGUACGCCAUUGAAUGAUGGAUACAGACAGCAGAAGCCAACAAGUUAUGAUUACUAAAAUUAAUGGCAUCACAAAUCACAACAUCCAAAUCUCACUCUUUGUGUCAAUCAUAUUUUAAAUGCCAACAACUACUUCUUUGAUUGAUUGAUAUUUGUUUAUUUCAUAGUGCAAAGUUUUUGAAGUUAUAAUCAACAAAAUUCGUAUUUUGGUGCAUAAAGUUUAUGAUAGGUUAAGAUUAAUGAUAUUUUCACAAUUAUACACUAUAUUAUAAUUUAUUAUAAUUUAUAAGAUUUGCACACUUCUCUUAAAUUACAUAAUAUAUUUGUGUUGAAUAAAUGUAUCAGUGUCGAUAUUCGUAAGAUAUUUAUCAGUAAAGUGUUUAAUUUAAAAAAUAUUUGUGAGAUUUUUAACAAUUCUAACAUAGUUGUAACACAAUUUUAAAAAAAAAAUACAAUAAUUUUUUAAAAACUCAAAUUUAUUAUAUAAAUUUUUAUUAUGAUUAUAAAAGUAAGGAACAAAUUCUUUUAAAUCAUUCAUGAAAAACAUUUUUCUGCUUCCAAAAGAUUUGAAACAUACUUGCUCACAUAAAUAUUUAUUAUCAAUUUACAUAAUUCAUAAUUAUAUAAUAUAUAGAUCUGUGUCUUUCUAUCCAAAAUUUUGAGAAAUUAUACAUAUUUUCGUGUCUAUAUCCAUAUCGUGUUAGUAUCUAUAUGUCUAAAACUAUCUAUCAGUGCUACAUAAAUUACAAUUAAAAAUAUAAGUGAUAUUUUAUAAAGUAAUUUUAAAAUAAUUACAUCAUAAUUGAGUUGUCAAAUAACAUUUUUCAACUUAAAUGCAACUCCUAACUCUACCUCUUCUUAUUGGCUCUCACGUCCUCUCUUACCAACGUUUUGCUGUAGUUUUCAAACUUUAUGACUCAUCCUGUAAUUAUUUGAAGCAUAGAUAUUUAUUUGAGGAUUUUUAUUUCUAUAUUAUGACACUUUAUAUUUUUUAAGUUUAAUUAUUCAUUUCGUAUUUACAAAUAUCAUUUAUAUUGCUUAUUGUUGACAGUUAUAUAUUGUAAAAAAAUAGGUUCUACAUAUUAAUGUUUUAAAACUAGGUUGGUCUCUGAUCUUAAAAACCAUCUAUCUUAUACAAAUUGUUCUACAUAUGUGUGUUAUUUUAUGUUCUUAAAAAUCAAUAAAAUAAGAGAUAAUUGACUUUAAUAGUUCGUAAUAUUUUGAAAAUUUAUAUGUAGACAUCUUAAAUCUCAUCUAAAUUUAGAAAAAUAUAAAUGAGAAAGAAACGAUCAAUGUAAUAGAGGACUGUAAGAAUCUAAGGCAUCACUUACAUUUUUAGAAAACAUUGAAAUAAAAAAACACUGAAAUUAAUAUUUCAUUAAAAUUAAAAAAUUAAAUAUUUUCCCUUCGUUUUAAUGAAAAAAAAAAUCUCAAAUGACUAUUAUUUGGGAACUGAUAGAGUAGUUAACACAUCAACUAAUUAUCAAUAAAAUCAAUUAUAUGUUCCUAAUUAUGCAUAAAGUAAAAUUUUUACAUCAAUUAUAAUUACAAUUAAUAUAGAACAUGGAGUUAUUAUAUCGACUAUAUAAUUAUAACACGUAUAGAAAGUCCAUUUAAAAAGUAGAUUUAUUUUGUUUAAAACAAAAAAUAAUAAUUAGAAACUAAUCUCUCUCUCUCUCUAUAUAUAUAUAUAUGUGUGUGAAUAUCAAUAUAUGCAUAUAAAAAAUAUCAAUACUAGUUAAGUAUAAUGUCUCUUUUAUAUUUAUCUAAUCAUAAUAUAAUUGUAUAACUUCAUUGUAUUAAUUUUUCAACAACUUAAAAUGGUAAAAUUGUCAUGAAGGUUCGGAAAAAACAAGUAAAAUGUGAGAGGCAAUAAUGACGUUUUUUAAAGCAUGUGAGAGGAAGAUGAAAUAAAUUUUAAUACAAUUAAAAGAACAUGAAAGUAACAACAACGAUGAAGUCAGUUUGAGAAUGAAGGAAAACAGAUGAAGUAGCUAAUGUUCAACACAAGAGAAGAGAAAGAUAAAUCACACCAUAGUAGUUUAGGGUCAUAGGGACAAGAGAGAGUAACAUAAAUACUAAGGGUUGAUUUUUAGGUUAUAGCAAAAUUAUGAAAACAGAUGAGAUACAAUGCUGAAUUUAAGCAAUAUACAACGUCCAUUACUUUUGUAACUUUCCAAGACUUUUAGAUUUUGCCAUCAAAUCUAUUUUGAAACAUUCAUUUUUCAACAAUCAAUACUUAACAAUAAAAUUAUUAGAUAAUAAUUAAUUUUAUAUAAAUCGACAAACCCUAAAUCACUACCUUAAUAGUGAUUGAACGAAGCAUAAUAGUGAGUGUGUUAUGAAUAGCAAACAAGGACCACCUAUGAUCACAAUGGACACAAAGAGUCUAAGAUGAACCUUAUCACAGUGCUAACAAAGACAAAUUUUGAAGAGCAAAAAUGGUGGUGGCUCUAGUUCUUUUCCCAUGAUGGUGCAGAUGCAGGAAAUAGAGGAAUUGUGGGAAAAAGUAUAUGAAUACGAAAGACAAAUUUAAAAUGGGAUGAAUCACGAAGGAAAGGAUUGCGGGGAAGGGAAGGGAAGGGAAGGGAAGACAGUGUCAUGUUUCCAUCACAAACACUCAAUAAUGUAUAGGAAAGCAACAAGCACAUAUGCAACAUCCAACGUUAUAUGUCAUUACGCAUAUGUCUUUAUUCUUUCCUAUAUAAUUCCAAUGCUUCAAUAAAUCAAAUCAUAACUCUCCAACAACUAUACCUACCAGAAUAUCAUAUACAAACUAAAACACCUUAUACCUUCUAAAUCUCUAUGAAAUUUUCUUAAUAUAAAUCUCACGUGUGUUACCAACUAUGUACACUCCAUGAACUCGAUAACAGUUACAAAUUAGUUUCACCAAUUAUUUUGAUGCUCACUUUUGAAACAUUUUGAAGUUCAGGAUAUCUUCAUUAAUUUUCAAGAUUAUCGAGUUUUUUUUAACAAAUUAAAACUCCUUUGAAUAACAAAGUUUUGCUUGUGAGCUACAGUCCAAGACUCUCUACAAAAGAUCUGUUGUUUGUAUGUAUAUAUUGAGCUGUGAGAGUAUGCCAUGUGUUACUUGAUGUACAAGUAUGUUUGGAUAGUUUAUAUAAAGAUUUUUUUUAAAUUAAAAAUGAGGGAAAAAAAACAUUUUAGUAACUUUUUUUCAACUUCUUUACCAACUCAAUCUUUUUUGUAAAACAUAGUCAUAUAUAGACCCCUAUAUAUCCUACAGAGAAAUAGAAAAUUCCCUUAGUGAUUGGAUUGAAUCAAAUUACAUAAUUAAGUAAUCAUUACUUGAUUAAUAUAUCAUAAAUCCUCUUCUUAGCUUCCUAUUGAUGUCCACUGCAUAUAGUUGUUUCAUAUCUUCACAUGCCAUAGUAAUAAAAUUGCUUUUUUUUCAUGCUCAACAAAACUCUUUACCAAAACUUUAUCUUAAGAUUAUUUUAGCUUAUCAGUUAAUAUUGAAAGUUGUAACUAACCUGGAAGUGAGUGACGGAUGAACGUUCCCGUGAAUCUGUUAUUCCCCACCAACUUGCUCACCAAAUUGACAUAUAAUAUGAUUAUAAAUGCAUGCUUUCACAGUUCAAAACUCAACUGUUACCUUCUUCACAUAUAGUGCGCUGGCCCUACAUCAUCCAUGCUCUCAUCACUCCCUCACAUUCUUCUUUCACUUUUGUGAGUCAAAUUUAUUUUUUUGUUUUUUAUGCUAAGGUUGUCAAUUUCCCAACCUGUUUUUGCAUGGAAGAGAAAAUGAUGAUGAUAAUGAUAAUAAUAAUUAUAAUAGCAGAUUAGUAGUAGUGAAAAUGAAAGAGAAACAAUAGGGGCGACUAUGGCUUACCAAUGAGUCUACAGCUGUUGCUGAUACAAUGAAUCCUAAUCAGUUUACACUGUGGUUAUUAGUUGCUUAAUUGUGCUAAGCAUCAAUUUAAUAAAAUAAGUCUCUCUCAAGUCACAAAUCUGGUUUCGUUUAUUAGAUCCUUCCUUGUUUUAAAAGAACCUUCCCCUUCUGUGGGGUCAUUAGCAGAUCUUGGCUGUGAUUGUACCCUUGAUUUGUAUGUAUCCUUGCUUUUUGGUUCCCUGUCGUCAUCAGUUUUGGUAUUUGCUGAUGUAUUCACUUCUACAUUUGUGGCACUGGUAAAUCUGCAUGUUUAGUAGCAGUGGUAGUAACAGAUAUAGGUAUGCGCAUUAUUGUUCUAAUAACAAUAAAGAAGUAACCAUUUGGAAUUUUCAAUAAUUGGGCUAGAUUUUGCUCUUAGCUACUUGCUUAAUGGAACAUGAACCAUGAUAUAAAAAUACACACAUCUUUGCUCAGAUAUUUUUUUAUGAAUACUAUUGGCCCAGAAGUUGUAUUUGUUUACUCAUUUGAUUGUUUGUAUAAUAAAGAAAAAUAGAAAGAGAAAAGCGCGUUUGACAAGUGAUAAUUGACGGAAAAUAGUGUUACAGAGAAGUGUUACACCAAGAGUAUAGUUGUUAUGGACGUAUCUCCUAUUAAAUGUGAGAUUUGGUGUUAUUUUGAUUUUCUUUUAGGUAUCUCCUGAAAUUUCAAUUAGUAAGUGUUUACCUUUCAGGACUUUCUUUUCCUGUGUUUUAUUAUCAGACAAAUAAGAAGUGCUGUUAGGACCAGUAUUAUUAUUCUUUGUUUUCUUUUCUCCUUCUGCAAGUUGUGGUUGUGGAUAUCUAGCUAUAAUGCUAUAUGGUCACGCAUUUUCUGUCUUUUUCUUUUUGUCUCUACAGGGAACUCCCUUCUAUUGUGCACUCAAAAAACUCCAACUUUGUUUUCUUAAUUCUUACAAUCUCAGAAGACCUCUUAUUUAAAUGUUGGCUGCAAAAUAGUACCCAAAGCAUGUCAAUGAGUGCUUCCAUAUUUAAGAGCUAGAGCUCGGAAAAUCUUGCACACUGCACAAAACAGGUGCUUGUUGGUUCAGUUAUAGUAUUUUGACCUGAGGCGAUGAAAACAAGGAGAGGAAGACGCUCAGAGGUAAGCUUUAACAGGGCUCUCACUGCUGUUUAAGGAUAAAUAUGUUUCUUAGAAGCUCCUAAAAUUUGUCUCAUUGUAGCAGGCCUUUUGGCCCUCCCUUGUGAUGAAGAAAUGGUUAAACAUAAAGCCAAAGGUGUAUGAUUUUAGUGAGGAUGAAGUGGACACUGAAACUGAGAGUGAAGAUGAUGGUAUGCUUUAGACUAUACUAUAUUCCUUUUUGCUGUUUAGCUUGAUCUUUUUCUCUUUUCAUUUUUUUUCCUUCUUUGUUCUUUCAAUUUCAUUCAGUUUGCUCUCUUAAAGACUCAAGAAUGGGUGUGCGUGAAGAUAAUCCACUUAGAACAUCAUCCAUAUUCCCAAGUCAAACAUCAGGCAAUACUUUAUUCCUUUACAUUGCUAUGGUUCUUUAAAGGAGAAUAUGUGCUCUUUGCUUUAAUACACCUUUUGUCAUUGCUUGCUCUGGUUACAAAAUCAGUUAUUGGAGCGGCUUGUUAUGAAUUCUAGAAUCUAAACACAGUAUUUUGCAUAGCUUUGUUCUCUCCUUUUGGAAGGAGGACACGGAAAACAUUUGUUCUCAACUGAUGUUAAAUUGCAUAUAGAUCUUUUAUGGUGAAAGCAUGCAUCUGAAAAAACAAAGGAAAUCUGAACCAAAUUCCAAAUGUGUUACUACCAAAAAAUAUAUGAAAUUAUUUUUUUAAACUUCAAAUGAUUGACUGUUUUCUCUGAUUGAGUUUCAAAGUGUUAAAAGCACCAUCAUGCGUGAUUUGAUUUUGUAAUUCAGAUGCAUCUUGUAAGGGCUAUAAGGUCAGGCAUAGAAGAGGGAAAUCAGAAACUCUGCGUGUUCAAUACAUAAAUACAAAGGAAGUGAGGUCUGGUGGUAAUCAAGUUAUGUAUAAUUAAUUUAAUGAUAUUGAUGAAAGGAAUCAUAAAUCGGUUAUUUUGCAGGGUAACAAUUGGCACCUGGAAUGUUGCUGGAAGAAUUCCAUGUAAGGAUCUUGAAAUUGAGGACUGGCUUUGCACCGAUGAGCCAGCAGAUAUUUACAUUAUUGGGUAAGUAGUUUCUGUUGUUGCCUAAUGCUUUAAUAUUUCUCCCGCGUUGUUCAUGGUGCACCGUGUCCUAUGUUUUCUUCUUCAACAUAUUGACAAAUAUUUGGAUCAUUCACCAGACUUUAGGUAAAACUUAACCUGAUAUGCUGUACAGAUUUUUUUUCUUGCAUAUCUUACAAAUGAUAAGUAUCAUGGAGUUUCUCUUUUGUUAAAUACGUUAAACAUGAUUGUAUUUUCCCCUAUUUAUGUGUUUUUGUCUGUUUGAUUUAUAAAUAGAGCGUGAUCUGCUAAGUUUUUUUAUUGACAAGACCAUAAAAAAGAUUUAGUGAUGCAAUAUGAGACUCAUUGCAAUACCUUCCUUUCCUACACAAAUAGGUAAGUGAUCUGAUUGACCAAAAGUUCAAUGUUUUUAAGAUGGAAACGCCAGUUUAUCUCCAAAAACAAUGACUGCUUUUGGCUAAAUUUAAGUUCAUUCCAAGACCCUAAAACAUUCGCCUAGGAUUUUAUUUACAUCAGGUUUAAGUGAGAUUCCAAUAUGGAAAGGGAUGCUGAAUUUUCUUUCUUAUGGUUCAUGAGAAUGGAUCCAGUGUUUUAAAGUCAUGAAAAUCUUCUUUUUCAUGUCAUUCUUUAUGAAAGGUUUGUCAGAUGUCCAGUCCAUGUUUGGAAUCCAACGAUGAGUUUAAUUCAUGUAAAACAUAAAUAUUCUUAUGUUAAUAGCUGAGAUGAACUUCAUUCAUAAUUACGAACUUCCUUCAUAAUUUUGUAGUUUUGAAUAAAUUCUAAUAAAAAAAGUUUAUAUUAAGAAGUAUCUUAGUAGUGCUUUUGGGCAGAAAUUCGUGUGACCUUGUAACAUUCAAAUUCAACAUGCAUGAGAGGUCCAUUUUUGCUUCUUUAGGGUGUUUGUAAAAAUGGUCUUCUGAUAGCUUCUGUGAUUAACCUCAACACUAACGCAUGGCUUUUAACAGUUUCCAAGAGGUAGUCCCCUUGAAUGCUGGAAAUGUUCUUGGGGCAGAGGAUAAUACACCCAUCCGAAAUUGGGAAGCAAUCAUUAGAAGAACUCUAAACAAAUCUUCUGAACCUGAAAGCAAGCCGAAAAGCUACAGUGCCCCUUCUUCUCCUGUCCUGAGAGCUUCUGCAAAUGUUCUAGCAGACAGUAUAGAUGUUAAUCCACUAGACACAAUGAAUGAGGAGUACUUGGGAAGUUUUAACAAUGUUGAGCUAGAACAAGAGGAAGUCAAAAGCUUAAUUGGUAGAGGAAGGACUUUGCAGUUGAGGAAUAUAAAUGACAUUGAUCCUCAGACCAUACUUGAUUGGCCUGAACGUCCUUUAGAUGCAAUCCCACAUACUGAUUCCAGUUCAAAAUUGCGCAGAGUAUUUAGCUCAGACAGAAUUGGCUUUAACCUAACAGACAACAAGGGUUCAAAAUAUGGGAGUGUAAUGAAACGGACACACCAUAGUUCGGGAAAUUUGGGCUUGUUAUGGAAAGAACAGCAAGUGAUGCCUGAGGAAGUAAUUGAUACCCUUGAUGAGUUAUCUGGCAUGUUAUCUGAUGAGGAAGAUGAUGAUUUUCUUGAAUUGCCAAAUGACAACGAUGAUGAUGGAAUAGGGGCCGUGAAAUCACAUCGUAAGUAUGUCCGGAUCGUCAGCAAGCAGAUGGUAGGAAUAUACGUGUCUAUUUGGGUGCAAAGGAGGUUGAGAAGGCACAUUAACAACUUGAAAGUUUCUCCAGUUGGAGUUGGUCUCAUGGGCUACAUGGGAAACAAGGUAAGGGAGAAUGAAUGUUUUAACACUGAAUUUUACAUCAUUAUAUAGCAUAGGUGUACAUGUAAUGGCAGUGUUAACAAGACUUGAUAGGACUUUUAAGCUGCAUGGUAUACAUUCCAUGAUAAAAUCUCACUUAUUUAUGAUAGAACUUUUCAACUUGACUCUUACCUUUAUGAAUGUGAGUGAUAACAAACUAUGUCUGAUGCAGGGGUCUGUUUCAGUUAGUAUGUCUCUCUUUCAGUCACGUUUGUGCUUUGUUUGUUCGCAUUUGACUUCUGGUCAGAAGGAUGGUGCAGAAAUAAGACGAAACUCGGAUGUUCAUGAAAUUCUUCGCCGCACUUGCUUCUCAUCUGUCUUUGAUACAGAUCAGCCACAAACAAUCCCAUCUCACGAGUAAGUUUAACUUUACGUUGAAAAUUGUACUUUACAAAGGACAUAAUAAAAUUGUUGCUAGAAAGGUGUAAAACAAUAAAAGCCAACGGUUUGUGUUGAAAAAUUUAACAAACAAUAAGGUGUGUUUAAUUUUAAGCUGGAGAUAUAUAAGGAAUUCGACAUCAACAAAAUAAAAUUAUUGAAUGGAAAUAACCAACCACAGUGAACUUUAGAAACUAAUGGCUGAAGAAGGUACAUAAUUAAUUCAUAGAAAAGGAGAUAAAUAGACUGAAAUGGUUAUAUAUAUAGAAUAUGUUUAGCGAUGAUUCUACGAACAUCAUGGAUUCAUUAGUGGGUUGCUCAAUGCCAACAGUCAAAUUUUCUGGUUUGGGGAUUUAAACUAUCGUAUCAAUAUGAUGGAUGAGGAGGUUCGAAAGCUGGUAGCUCUAAAGAAAUGGAAUGAACUAAUGAAUUACGAUCAGGUGAGAAUUGUGAAACAACUUUGCAUCCUACAAAAUCUACAACUAGAGAUGCCAAAAGCAUUUUCUUGGCACCAAACUUUAUUCAUUUGCUGAUGUACGUGAUACUUUAUCAACGAGAGUUUCUAAUUGCUUCAAUUUGCAGUUAACUAAUGAAUUACGUAGUGGGCACGUGUUUGAUGGAUGGAAAGAGGGAUUAAUAAACUUCCCACCCACUUACAAGUAUGAAUUUAAUUCUGACAUAUAUAUUGGUGAGAAUCCAAAAGAAGGGGAAAAGAAGAGAUCUCCAGCCUGGUAAGCGCAAACGUGUUAGUGUUAUGUUAGUGCAUGGAUCAUAUGAUUAAUGUAAACGCAGUGUGACCCUUUGUACAAUUAUACAGGUGUGAUCGUAUAUUGUGGUUUGGGAAAGGAAUAAAACAACUUCAAUACAACAGAGCAGAAAACAAGCUCUCAGAUCAUCGAGCAGUUAGCUCAAUAUUCUGCAUUGAUGUUGAAGUAUUUGACAACCGCAAAUUACAACGAGUCCUGAAUUUUACAAAGGCGGCAGUACACCCAGAGGUUUUCCUUAGAGAAGAUGGAGAGUGGUCAUACUAGAUACCAACCCAAUAUUGUAAUUUACAAACUAACUGGUAAGUUUACAUUUUCAUUCCCUCUCUCUAUCUCAAGAGAUAUAUUAUGAGAUACAUUCAGAUAAUAAAAAAAAAAACCUAAAAAUUUAUAUAAUCAAAGAAAUGCACUAGCUCCCCCUAACCAAAUUUACAAAUUUGCAAUUUACUUUAAUGGCUCAUUCUUUCUCAUCGGCAGGGUGGAAGAUAUACAGGCUUACAAAUCGAGCCGCUAAAGAAAAGCAAAUGUACAUAGGCAUACUUUGGGAUACAGUGCCACACUUUCUGUUUAAUUAUGGGUUGUAUGAAAAUAGUUUUUUAUUCCUUUUCCUGUAUAAUUUUGAUCUUCAAGUAUCGACAACGGUUAGCACAUACUACUGUAUAUAGGACCAGUUUUCUUCUUCAAAUACCUUUCAGAGAUUUCAAAUCAUCUACAAAAUAAGUAAAUUCAUAUCAAGAGACGUAUUAUUAUUCAAUAUACAUAAAAACAUAAUAUUUAAUCACAUUAAAGGUUAAAAAAUUGUGGGCAUCAGUUCUCCAAGGUGAUAGCAUCAAUUAAAAUUCAGACGCAAAUUACCCAUUUGACGAUAAGAUUCAUCAUAUGCCCAUUCUCAAUUUCAAUUUCGAAAAACAAACAAAUUUGGACACUCUUCAUAUAGCUUAAUCAAUAGACAACCCAGCAAAGAAAAAGUCCAAAAAAAUAUUUAGAAUUUUGAAAGAGGGAAUAAAGACAGCGAUCAGAACCUGUCGGGAUUCAUAUAAACAUCACGCAGAUAUCAGCGGAUUGACAGACGAAUGAAUUUCUAUCGUCACUUCGCAUUACUUUUUUCCCUCUAAACUAAACUCAAAAAACUAAUCAGCUAAUUCUCAACAGAAUCGUAUAACUCAGCUAAUCAAAACUACAUGAAAUUUAAAUAAUAUAUUAGUGAAAAACAAUUAAACAGUAACGAUAUCAGAUUUAAAAGGUCAAAUGUUGAGCUCAGAACUUCUUAGAGGUUAAUUGCGCCAUCAUCGACGAUCACAAAAAGUGACGCCUCCAGCACGGUUAUAUAUUCAUCACAGGCUCACCACUUUCCCAAAUACAUUACAUAUCAGCAAAAGAAUUUUCCGGAGAGAAAAACAUCGCAGGGAACGGGAACGGGAUAAAGUAGAACAAACUAUAUCUAGAAGUAACAAACAAGAAUAACAAAAUAGCUAGAAAACACACAGGAAACGAGAACAGAAGCGAAAACUACAAUUCGUCGCAGUAGAAAGAUCUUCGAUUAGAAGACUGGAAUUGGCGAUAAUUUAUAGAUGCAAUUUAGGGUUUUUAUCAUUUUAGGCAAGACUAGGGUUCCGCAGGGCAAGG
rnacentral:lncRNA from 1 species